GGAGUGAUGGCCGAGUGGCUGAAGGCGUCUGCCUGCUAAGCAGAUAGGGUGGGCUAAUCCUGCCCUCGUGGGUUCAAAUCCCACUCACUCCGCCA
rnacentral:tRNA from 3 species